rnacentral:rRNA from 1 species
UGGGGAAUUUUGGACAAUGGGCGCAAGCCUGAUCCAGCAAUGCCGCGUGUGUGAAGAAGGCCUUCGGGUUGUAAAGCACUUUUGUCCGGAAAGAAAACCUCGUGGUUAAUACCCGUGGGGGAUGACGGUACCGGAAGAAUAAGCACCGGCUAACUACGUGCCAGCAGCCGCGGUAAUACGUAGGGUGCAAGCGUUAAUCGGAAUUACUGGGCGUAAAGCGUGCGCAGGCGGUUCGCUAAGACAGAUGUGAAAUCCCCGGGCUUAACCUGGGAACUGCAUUUGUGACUGGCGGGCUGGAGUAUGGCAGAGGGGGGUAGAAUUCCACGUGUAACAGUGAAAUGCGUAGAGAUGUGGAGGAAUACCGAUGGCGAAGGCAGCCCCCUGGGCCAAUACUGACGCUCAUGCACGAAAGCGUGGGGAGCAAACAGG